UACGUAGGGGGCGAGCGUUGUCCGGAUUUAUUGGGCGUAAAGAGCUCGUAGGCGGUUUGGUAAGUUGGAUGUGAAAUCUCCAGGCUCAACUUGGAGGGGUCAUUCGAUACUGCCAUGACUAGAGUUCGGUAGGGGAGUGUGGAAUUCCUGGUGGAGCGGUGAAAUGCGCAGAUAUCAGGAGGAACACCAGUGGCGAAGGCGAUCUUCUGGACGGAUACUGACGCUGAGGCGCGAAAGCUAGGGGAGCAAACGGG
rnacentral:rRNA from 1 species